GGCGAGUGAAGCGGCAACAGCUCAAAUUUGAAAUCUGGCCUCUUUUGGGGUCCGAGUUGUAAUUUGCAGAGGGCGCUUUGGCGUUGGCAGCGGUCCAAGUUCCUUGGAACAGGACGUCACAGAGGGUGAGAAUCCCGUACGUGGUCGCUGGCCUUCGCCGUGUAAAGCCCCUUCGACGAGUCGAGUUGUUUGGGAAUGCAGCUCUAAAUGGGAGGUAAAUUUCUUCUAAAGCUAAAUACUGGCCAGAGACCGAUAGCGCACAAGUAGAGUGAUCGAAAGAUGAAAAGCACUUUGGAAAGAGAGUCAAACAGCACGUGAAAUUGUUGAAAGGGAAGCGCUUGCAGCCAGACUUGCCUGUAGUUGCUCAUCCGGGCUUUUGCCCGGUGCACUCUUCUAUAGGCAGGCCAGCAUCAGUUUGGGCGGUUAGAUAAAGGUCUCUGUCAUGUACCUCUCUUCGGGGAGGACUUAUAGGGGAGGCGACAUGUAACCAGCCCAGAUUGAGGUCCGCGCAUUUGCUAGGAUGCUGGCGUAAUGGCUGUAAGCGGCCCGUCUUGAAACACGGACCAAGGAGUCUAACAUCUAUGCGAGUGUUUGGGUGUCAAGCCCGAGCGCGCAAUGAAAGUGAACGGAGGUGGGAACCCCUCGGGGUGCACCAUCGACCGAUCCUGAUGUCUUCGGAUGGAUUUGAGUAAGAGCAUAGCUGUUGGGACCCGAAAGAUGGUGAACUAUGCUUGAAUAGGGUGAAGCCAGAGGAAACUCUGGUGGAGGCUCGCAGCGGUUCUGACGUGCAAAUCGAUCGUCAAA
rnacentral:rRNA from 2 species